rnacentral:rRNA from 1 species
CCUACGGGGGCUGCAGUGGGGAAUAUUGGACCAUGGGCGAAAGCCUGAUCCAGCCAUGCCGCGUGUGUGAAGAAGGCCUUCGGGUUGUAAAGCACUUUCAGUGGGGAAGAAAGCCUUGGGGCUAAUACCCUCGAGGAAGGACAUCACCCACAGAAGAAGCACCGGCUAACUCCGUGCCAGCAGCCGCGGUAAUACGGAGGGUGCGAGCGUUAAUCGGAAUUACUGGGCGUAAAGCGCGCGUAGGCGGUCUGAUAAGCCGGUUGUGAAAGCCCCGGGCUCAACCUGGGAACGGCAUCCGGAACUGUCAGGCUAGAGUGCAGGAGAGGAAGGUAGAAUUCCCGGUGUAGCGGUGAAAUGCGUAGAGAUCGGGAGGAAUACCAGUGGCGAAGGCGGCCUUCUGGACUGACACUGACGCUGAGGUGCGAAAGCGUGGGUAGCAAACAGGAUUAGAUACCCCAGUAGUC